rnacentral:rRNA from 1 species
AGAGUUUGAUCAUGGCUCAGGAUGAACGCUAGCGGCAGGCCUAAUACAUGCAAGUCGGACGGUAAGUCCCGCCUCGGCGGGAACACGAGUGGCGCACGGGUGCGUAACGCGUAUGCAACCUACCUUUAACUGGGGAAUAGCCCCGAGAAAUCGGGAUUAAUACCCCAUAAUAAUAAAAUAUGACAUCAUUUUUUAUUUAAAGUUCCGGCGGUUAAAGAUGGGCAUGCGUGACAUUAGUUAGUUGGUGAGGUAACGGCUCACCAAGGCAACGAUGUCUAGGGGUUCUGAGAGGAUUAACCCCCACACUGGUACUGAGACACGGACCAGACUCCUACGGGAGGCAGC